rnacentral:rRNA from 1 species
GACGAACGCUGGCGGCGUGCUUAACACAUGCAAGUCGAACGGUAAGGCCCUUCGGGGUACACGAGUGGCGAACGGGUGAGUAACACGUGGGUGAUCUGCCCUGCACUUCGGGAUAAGCCUGGGAAACUGGGUCUAAUACCGGAUAGGACUCCGGACUGCAUGGUCUGGGGUGGAAAGCUUUUGCGGUGGGGGAUGGGCCCGCGGCCUAUCAGCUUGUUGGUGGGGUGAUGGCCUACCAAGGCGACGACGGGUAGCCGGCCUGAGAGGGUGACCGGACACACUGGGACUGAGAUACGGCCCAGACUCCUACGGGAGGCAGCAGUGGGGAAUAUUGCACAAUGGGCGCAAGGCUGAUGCAGCGACGCCGCGUGAGGGAUGACGGCCUUCGGGUUGUAAACCUCUUUCAGCAUCGACGAAGCGAAAGUGACGGUAGGUGCAGAAGAAGGACCGGCCAACUACGUGCCAGCCGCCGCCGUAA